UGCCAUCUCGGGCUCUGGCUCUCUUGAGUU
rnacentral:piRNA from 1 species